rnacentral:rRNA from 1 species
GACCGAUAGUGAACCAGUACCGUGAGGGAAAGGCGAAAAGAACCCCGGCGAGGGGAGUGAAAAAGAACCUGAAACCGUGUACGUACAAGCAGUGGGAGCACAGGUUUACCUGUGUGACUGCGUACCUUUUGUAUAAUGGGUCAGCGACUUAUAUUCUGUAGCAAGGUUAACCGUAUAGGGGAGCCGGAGGGAAACCGAGUCUUAAUUGGGCGUUAAGUUGCAGGGUAUAGACCCGAAACCCGGUGAUCUAGCCAUGGGCAGGUUGAAGGUUGGGUAACACUAACUGGAGGACCGAACCGACUAAUGUUGAAAAAUUAGCGGAUGACCUGUGGCUGGGGGUGAAAGGCCAAUCAAACCGGGAGAUAGCUGGUUCUCCCCGAAAGCUAUUUAGGUAGCGCCUCGUGAAUUCAUCUCCGGGGGUAGAGCACUGUUUCGGCUAGGGGGCCAUCCCGGCUUACCAACCCGAUGCAAACUGCGAAUACCGGAGAAUGUUAUCACGGGAGACACACGGCGGGUGCUAACGUCCGUCGUGAAGAGGGAAACAACCCAGACCGCCAGCUAAGGUCCCAAAGUCAUGGUUAAGUGGGAAACGAUGUGGGAAGGCCCAGACAGCCAGGAUGUUGGCUUAGAAGCAGCCAUCAUUUAAAGAAAGCGUAAUAGCUCACUGGUCGAGUCGGCCUGCGCGGAAGAUGUAACGGGGCUAAACCAUGCACCGAAGCUGCGGCAGCGAACGUAUCACCCAAGACAACUUUACGGAGUUGACGAUUGACGGAGCGAAGCGACGUCAAAGCGUUCAUUAAAGUCGAGUUGGCUUAGGGAUACGUUCGUUGGGUAGGGGAGCGUUCUGUAAGCCUGUGAAGGUGUGUCGUGAGGCAUGCUGGAGGUAUCAGAAGUGCGAAUGCUGACAUAAGUAACGAUAAAGCGGGUGAAAAGCCCGCUCGCCGGAAGACCAAGGGUUCCUGUCCAACGUUAAU